GGUAACAAAUUCUUUAGUUUAGCUUAUUAUUUUUAUGGGAUAAUUGCCUAUAUACCACUCAUGCGUCUGAAAAUAUCCGAUCUAUCCCUACUUUUUUUUUCUUUCUAAAAUGCCCCUCAUAUGUUCCACCGUUAUUGCAAAAUACCCCGCAGUUAUCUCCUGUUAAGUUAACCUGAGUUAAACGUAAGUUAAAUAUCUAUCACAGUUAAAAAAAAUUAAAAUGCCAAUUUUGCCCUUAACUUAAGGGCAAAUAAGAAAGAUUGGUUACGGUAGAGGGGUAUAUUGGAAAAGACAAAAAGGUAGAGGGGUAUAUUGGAAAAGACAAAAAGUUGAAAUAUUUUUUGUGCCCUUGACUUGGCAAAUAAGAAAGAUAAUGAUGGUGGAAGGGUAUAUUUGAAAAAGGCAAAAGAGUAAUUUUACAGCGAUAACAGUGUUACUUAACAGAUUUUAACUCUAAGGGUAUAUUAGAAAUAGGUUGGAACGUAGGAGGGGUAUUUUCAAUAUUAGCCUUCUAAGAGGGGUAAAUCGAAAAGUCGGAAACUUUUCAGGGGUAUAUAAGAAAUUGCCCCUAUUUUUAUUUUGGGGCAAUUGAUUAUAUAUUUAUAAAAAGUUUUUUUAACUUUUUAAUUUAUCUCUCUUACAAAGUUAAUAUUAAAAAUACUCUUUUAACGUUCCAAGUUAUUUCAAAUAUAUAUGUAGAGUUAAAUUUUAUUAGUGAAGUAUUGUCUUUUCAAAUAUAAUCUUUACCAUCACUAGCUUUUCUUAUUUGUCCUUAAGUUAAGAGAAAAAGAGAUAUUGUAAUUUUUUUAACUUGGGUAGAAAUUUAACCUGGGUUUAACCUGAGAUAACUUAAAGGAUACUAACAGCAGAGAUAUUUUUAAAUAACAGAGAACAAUAGAAUGGGUAUAUUUGAAAUAGAAAAAGUAGGAGUAAAUUAAAUAUUUUGAAAAUUUUCUAACGCAUAUUAGAUAUUAUCCUUUUUAUAUAUUUGAAAUAGGGUUCAUAACAUUCCGGACGCUACAAACAGAAUAAAACGUCUAACCAACAUGGCGGCAAUCUAGUGGGUCGUCUGGACGGAACGUAACAAUAGCGUCUUCAACGAAUACCUUCCUAAUGCUACCAGGGCUCUUUAGCACGUAUCUAACUUGAUGAUUGCCUGGACUUCUUUAACUUAAUGUCUCACUAGAUUGACCUGUACCUUCGCCUUUUGUUCUUUCUUCUUUUUUUUUCCUUUCUCUUUCUUCUCCUUCUUUUCUGCUUUUUUAGGAGGCCUUAGCUGCUUCCAUCAUGUUAGCCUAGUUCAUUUUGCUUAAUGAAUGAAGCGGGUAGCUUGCUACCUUUUUCUCAAAAAAGAAAUAGGGUUCAUAAAAUUAUUUUACAACAAAGUUUACAGAUAUUAGGAAGUUUUAACAAGUUGUUGGCGUUGGUGGUAGGCAGCUUGGUCGAAAUGACGAACUGAUGUGGGCAGAUCGGAGGAUAAUAUGCAGUACGCCGGGAGCCAAAAAGGAAAUG
rnacentral:lncRNA from 1 species